GAUGAACGCUAGCGAUAGGCUUAACACAUGCAAGUCGAGGGGCAUCGAGGGUAGCAAUACCUGUCGGCGACCGGCGCACGGGUGAGUAACGCGUAUGUAACUGCCCGCAACAGAGGGAUAACCCGGCGAAAGUCGGACUAAUACCUCAUAAAACAGGGGUUCCGCAUGGGACUAUUUGUUAAAGAUUUAUUGGUUGCGGAUGGGCAUGCGUACCAUUAGGUAGUUGGUGAGGUAACGGCUCACCAAGCCAUCGAUGGUUAGGGGUUCUGAGAGGAAGGUCCCCCACACUGGUACUGAGACACGGACCAGACUCCUACGGGAGGCAGCAGUGAGGAAUAUUGGUCAAUGGGCGAGAGCCUGAACCAGCCAAGUCGCGUGAAGGAUGACUGCCCUAUGGGUUGUAAACUUCUUUUACAGGGGAAUUAAAUGAGAUACGUGUAUUUUAUUGCAUGUACCUUAAUAGCAUCGGCUAUCA
rnacentral:rRNA from 1 species